ACGCCUUAUACAUGCAAGUCGAACGAAGUAGCAAUACUUAGUGGCAGACGGGUGAGUAACAUGUAGGUAUCUUCCCUUUGGUGAGGAAUAACACGAGGAAACUUGUGCUAAUACCUCAUAAGUCUUUACGGAGAAAGCUUUAUGCGCCAAAGGAUGGGCCUGCAUUUGAUUAGUUUGUUGGUGGGGUAAUGGCCUACCAAGACUUUGAUCAAUAGCUGAUCUGAGAGGAUGAUCAGCCACAUUGGGACUGAGACACGGCCCAAACUCCUACGGGAGGCAGCAGUAGGGAAUAUUGCACAAUGGAGGAAACUCUGAUGCAGCGAUGCCGCGUGAGUGAAGAAGGCCUUUGGGUUGUAAAGCUCUUUCGUCGGGGAAGAAAAUGACUGUACCCGAAUAAGAAGGUCCGGCUAACUUCGUGCCAGCAGCCGCGGUAAUACGAAGGGACCUAGCGUAGUUCGGAAUUACUGGGCUUAAAGAGUUCGUAGGUGGUUAAAAAAGUUGGUGGUGAAAUCCCAGAGCUUAACUCUGGAACUGCCAUCAAAACUUUUUAGCUAGAGUAUGAUAGAGGAAAGCAGAAUUUCUAGUGUAGAGGUGAAAUUCGUAGAUAUUAGAAAGAAUACCAAUUGCGAAGGCAGCUUUCUGGAUCAUUACUGACACUGAGGAACGAAAGCAUGGGUAGCGAAGAGGAUUAGAUACCCUCGUAGUCCAUGCCGUAAACGAUGUGUGUUAGACGUUGGAAAUUUAUUUUCAGUGUCGCAGCGAAAGCAUUAAACACACCGCCUGGGGAGUAC
rnacentral:rRNA from 1 species